rnacentral:rRNA from 1 species
AUUGAACGCUGGCGGCAGGCCUAACACAUGCAAGUCGAGCGGAUGAAGGGAGCUUGCUCCUGGAUUCAGCGGCGGACGGGUGAGUAAUGCCUAGGAAUCUGCCUGGUAGUGGGGGAUAACGUCCGGAAACGGGCGCUAAUACCGCAUACGUCCUGAGGGAGAAAGUGGGGGAUCUUCGGACCUCACGCUAUCAGAUGAGCCUAGGUCGGAUUAGCUAGUUGGUGGGGUAAAGGCCUACCAAGGCGACGAUCCGUAACUGGUCUGAGAGGAUGAUCAGUCACACUGGAACUGAGACACGGUCCAGACUCCUACGGGAGGCAGCAGUAGGGAAUAUUGGGCAAUGGGCGAAAGCCUGAUCGAGCCAUGCCGCGUGUGUGAUGAAGGUCUUCGGAUUGUAAAACACUGUAAGUUGGGAGGAAGGACAGUAAGUUUAUACCUUGCUGUUUUGACGUUACCAACAGAGAAAGCACCGGCUAACUACGUG